UUGAAACUAAUAAAGUGAAGCUGAAGAGGGCGGGGUUGCGGGGUUUCUUUUUAAAACCCUCCAUAAAAACUAGACAACAAAACAGGAACACUCCCUUUCUCUCCGUCCGUCCGUCCAUCCAUCCAUCCGUUUCGAUCUGAUGGUUUGUCUUUGGGAUUCGUGCAGUCUCGACCUCAAUUUUCUCUCGCUUUCUCUGCUCUGGACUAAAGACAGUCACAGUAGUGAAGUAGUACCUCCUCUCCUCGAAAACCCCUUCAAGCCCACAUUUUCUUUUUGUUCUCUCUUUUGUUUGGUAUUCUUGUUUUUGUUUCUCUCUCAUUUUUUUUCUUCUUUUCUCUAGUUUUAGAAUACUAGGGUUUGAGAUGUUCCCUGCUAUUCGGAUCCAAGGCCAAGAUGGCCCCGGCCCCGGCCCCGGCCCCGGCCCCGGCAUUCCCCUUGAGAGAUGGCAUCUGCUCAAAAGUUUAGAGACAAGAUUGAUGCAGAUGACCUCCACCGAAAGGCUUUGGUUCCAUUCCAGCAUUGGACAUGAAAAACUAAUCAGUAAGGUGCUGUUGGAAGAUAUGGAUUGAUAUAGUUGAGAUUUGGAAUAGGGAAUGAAGCCAUUGGUCCGUGUAGCGUAGGGAAACAACAGCGUAUUAUAUUCGAUUUUUGUUGUAAAUUUGAAUCUAUUUUGAAUUGAUUAAGAUGUUAGAAACAAUGCUUUACUUUCUCUGUUCAUGCUCUC